rnacentral:rRNA from 1 species
GAUGAUCGCUGGCGGCGUGCCUAAUACAUGCAAGUCGAGCGAACGGACGAGAAGCUUGCUUCUCUGAUGUUAGCGGCGGACGGGUGAGUAACACGUGGAUAACCUACCUAUAAGACUGGGAUAACUUCGGGAAACCGUAGCUAAUACCGGAUAAUAUUUUGAACCGCAUGGUUCAAAAGUGAAAGACGGUCUUGCUGUCACUUAUAGAUGGAUCCGCGCUGCAUUAGCUAGUUGGUAAGGUAACGGCUUACCAAGGCAACGAUGCAUAGCCGACCUGAGAGGGUGAUCGGCCACACUGGAACUGAGACACGGUCCAGACUCCUACGGGAGGCAGCAGUAGGGAAUCUUCCGCAAUGGGCGAAAGCCUGGCGGAGCAACGCCGCGUGAGUGAUGAAGGUCUUCGGAUCGUAAAACUCUGUUAUUAGGGAAGAACAUAUGUGUAAGUAACUGUGCACAUCUUGACGGUACCUAAUCAGAAAGCCACGGCUAACUACGUG